rnacentral:rRNA from 1 species
GACGAACGCUGGCGGCGUGCUUAACACAUGCAAGUCGAACGGAAAGGCCCCUUUGGGGGUACUCGAGUGGCGAACGGGUGAGUAACACGUGAGUAACCUGCCCUUGACUUCGGGAUAACUUCAGGAAACUGGGGCUAAUACCGGAUAGGAAUCCUUGCUGCAUGGUGGGGGUUGGAAAGCUUCGGCGGUUAUGGAUGGACUCGCGGCUUAUCAGCUUGUUGGUGGGGUAGUGGCUUACCAAGGCUUUGACGGGUAGCCGGCCUGAGAGGGCGACCGGCCACAUUGGGACUGAGAUACGGCCCAGACUCCUACGGGAGGCAGCAGUGGGGAAUAUUGCACAAUGGGCGGAAGCCUGAUGCAGCAACGCCGCGUGCGGGAUGACGGCCUUCGGGUUGUAAACCGCUUUCAGCAGGGGCGAAGCUUGUGGUGACGGUACCUGCAGAAGAAGCACCGGCUAACUACGUG